rnacentral:rRNA from 1 species
AUGAUUCGUGGGACGUCCUGCCGGUGGUGGCGAGUCGAAGGCGUGCAGCCUUAGUGGUUUCCACUUUGGUUCUCGUGCGCCGGAGGCGGACCCCGAUGAAAUCCUACCGCGGUGCUCUUCACCGAGUGUCGAGGUGGGCCGGCACGUUUACUUUGAACAAAUUAGAGUGCUUAAAGCAGGCCUGUUGCGCCUGAAUACUGUGUGCAUGGAAUAAUGGAAUAGGACCUCGGUUCUAUUUUGUUGGUUUUCGGAACCCGAGGUAAUGAUUAAUAGGGACAGGCGGGGGCAUUCGUAUUGCGACGUUAGAGGUGAAAUUCUUGGAUCGUCGCAAGACGGACCGAAGCGAAAGCAUUUGCCAAGUAUGUUUUCAUUAAUCAAGAACGAAAGUUAGAGGUUCGAAGGCGAUCAGAUACCGCCCUAGUUCUAACCAUAAACGAUGCCAGCUAGCGAUCCGCCGAAGUUCCUCCGAUGACUCGGCGGGCAGCUCCCGGGAAACCAAAGCUUUUGGGUUCCGGGGGAAGUAUGGUUGCAAA